GACGAACGCUGGCGGCGUGCUUAACACAUGCAAGUCGAACGGAAAGGCCUCUUUCGGGGGGUACUCGAGUGGCGAACGGGUGAGUAACACGUGAGUAACCUGCCCUUGACUUUGGGAUAACUUCAGUAAACUGGGGCUAAUACCGGAUAGGAGCUCCUGCUGCAUGGUGGGGGUUGGAAAGUUUCGGCGGUUGGGGAUGGACUCGCGGCUUAUCAGCUUGUUGGUGGGGUAGUGGCUUACCAAGGCUUUGACGGGUAGCCGGACUGAGAGGGUGACCGGCCACAUUGGGACUGAGAUACGGCCCAGACUCCUACGGGAGGCAGCAGUGGGGAAUAUUGCACAAUGGGUGGAAGCCUGAUGCAGCAACGCCGUGUGCGGGAUGACGGCCUUCGGGUUGUAAACCGCUUUCGCUCAUGACGAAGCUUUGUGUGACGGUAGUGGGUAAAGAAGCACCGGCUAACUACGUG
rnacentral:rRNA from 1 species